rnacentral:rRNA from 1 species
CACGUAGGGGGCGAGCGUUGUCCGGAUUUAUUGGGCGUAAAGAGCUCGUAGGCGGCUCAGUAAGUCAGGUGUGAAAACUCCAGGCUCAACCUGGAGACGCCACCUGAUACUGCUGUGGCUAGAGUCCGGUAGGGGAGCAUGGAAUUCCUGGUGUAGCGGUGAAAUGCGCAGAUAUCAGGAGGAACACCAGUGGCGAAGGCGGUGCUCUGGGCCGGAACUGACGCUGAGACUCGAAAGCGUGGGGAGCAAACAGG